rnacentral:lncRNA from 1 species
GCUGUUGAUCCAGCAGUGUACAUUUCAUUCAGCAAGUAGGAUAUCCACCAUAUAACAACGUACUUUGUUGCAGAGUAUGAUUUAGACUUUUCUGAUGCGCAAAAAUAGUAACUUCAAAUGCUGGGUAAAAAUUAAGGCGUGAUAUAUCUCAUAAAAGAAAGCUUCAUAAGAGGUAGUAAGUUUUAGUUACUGGUGAUUUUCUAGCAGACUGGAAUGUUGACCAUUCUUUGGGAAAGGAAUCAGAGGUUUUUUGUUGGGUUUUUUUGUUUUUUGAAAUGGAGUCUCGCUUUGUUGUUCAGGCUGAAGUGCAGUGGCGCAGUCUUCACUCACUGCAAACUCUGCCUCCCCAGUUCAAGUGAUUCUCCUGCCUCAGCUUCCCGAGUAGCUAGGACUACAGGCACACACCACCACACCCGGCCAAUUUUUGUAAUUUUAGUAGAGACAGGGUUUCACCAUAUUGGUCAGGCUGGUCUCGAACUCCUGACCUCAGGUGAUUACAGGCUUGAGCCACUGCACCUGGCCUGUUGUGGGGUUUUGUGGUUUGGUUUGGUUUGGUGUUUUCUGAUUACAGCAGCUUUCUCUUUAUUCUCAGUUUUGCACAGUAAUAAGUUGACUCACACAGACUUAAAGCCUGAAAACAUCUUAUUUGUGCAGUCUGACUACACAGAGGCGUAUAAUCCCAAAAUAAAACGUGAUGAACGCACCUUAAUAAAUCCAGAUAUUAAAGUUGUAGACUUUGGUAGUGCAACAUAUGAUGACGAACAUCACAGUACGUUGGUAUCUACAAGACAUUAUAGAGCACCUGAAGUUAUUUUAGCCCUAGGGUGGUCCCAACCAUGUGAUGUCUGGAGCAUAGGAUGCAUUCUUAUUGAAUACUAUCUUGGGUUUACCGUAUUUCCAACACACGAUAGUAAGGAGCAUUUAGCAAUGAUGGAAAGGAUUCUUGGACCUCUACCAAAACAUAUGAUACAGAAAACCAGGAAACGUAAAUAUUUUCACCAUGAUCGAUUAGACUGGGAUGAACACAGUUCUGCCGGCAGAUAUGUUUCAAGACGCUGUAAACCUCUGAAGGAAUUUAUGCUUUCUCAAGAUGUUGAACAUGAGCGUCUCUUUGACCUCAUUCAGAAAAUGUUGGAGUAUGAUCCAGCCAAAAGAAUUACUCUCAGAGAAGCCUUAAAGCAUCCUUUCUUUGACCUUCUGAAGAAAAGUAUAUAGAUCUGUAAUUGGACAGCUCUCUCGAAGAGAUCUUACAGACUGUAUCAGUCUAAUUUUUAAAUUUUAAGUUAUUUUGUACAGCUUUGUAAAUUCUUAACAUUUUUAUAUUGCCAUGUUUAUUUUGUUUGGGUAAUUUGGUUCGUUAAGUACAUAGCUAAGGUAAUGAACAUCUUUUUCAGUAAUUGUAAAGUGAUU